GAGUGCCCGGGCAAGCACCUUGGUGAGGAAGAGGCCUAAUUGUACGGCGGGGUGCUGGCGCCAGGGUUGCCAGAGAGUGGCACCAUAUGCCGCCAAGGUUCGGCCGAGUUUAUGCAAAGGAAAGGGAAUUGCAUUUUUUAUGACUACGUGGAUUUUAAUUAAGGGGAGUAAGCAUGGACAAGGUGCCAUCUCAAGGGCGGUGGCAUAAGGGCCUCGCUUGCCUUACCCGAAAGUAGGGAAG
rnacentral:lncRNA from 1 species